rnacentral:lncRNA from 1 species
UUGCGCCGGGCUUCGCGUUACCGGAGCCAAGGCUGUUGUAGGUUCUGCACAACCUGGCUCCUGGACGUCAGCGUUGGGAGGCGGACUGAUGUCGCUAGAGCCCAGCCUGAGCCAGGCCAGAGAUGCAGACUCCUGGUGUAGCUGGCAGCAGUAUGGUCCAGACUCACCGAGAAAGGCGGCUUCGAUGAGCCCCUCCACCGCGCAGACCCCCAGAAAGUGGAGCUAGUGUGGGGGCUGCUCCAGUGAAAUGACCGAUGGCUGAAGCUGCAUCUCUCCAGCCUGGGGGGCUGGCCCCCAUUGUCAGUCAGGUCACUAGAAAAACAGGCAACUCCAGUCGAUUUCAGUUACUGUGGUUCCUUUUGUGAGCUUGAACACGCACAAGUGUUCAUGCACACAUCCUGAUAUCAAAGAAGGGGAAACCCAGGCAGCAAAACCUGGCCCGGAGGAGAAGGGAGAAGAUUUUUCCUCAGUGACUCCUAAACUCCUUGUAGCUGUGUGGGGUGUCUUUGGAGACUGGCUACAGCCUCCCACUUCGGGUCUGAGGAUGUAAGACAGAAAUACCUCCAGUCGACUGAAAGCAUUUGUAAGCAUGUUUGUGUGCAUCUUUUAGUCCGCUGUGUGUUGUCACUGGCGCCUGCUUGGUCCAGCGCUGGGCUGGGCCCUGGGGACGUAGAUGAGUCAGGUCUGCAUGCUGAACCCCGUGCCCAGUGGUGGCCACUCUGGCUGUACCUGUUGCCUUGCCCAGAGUUGUGGGCUGUUCUUUGAGAGAACUCAGUCGGGGCCCCGGUGAGCUGUGGUUCCUGCUUUGUGGCCUGGACACAGACACAGAACCUUUCAUCCUCUGCUCAGUACCUCUUGUCCCCAGACAAGCCUUCCUUAUGGGCAGUGUAUGCACGCCACUGGCUUCCUGUAGGGGCCUACCUCUCCCUGGGACUAGCCACCCAGCUGCUGCUUGCCACAGCGGGCCACCUGAGACUCACCCACCUCCCCCAAUAUUCUCCCACCCCUCCACUGUUCAACAGGCAGCCACACUCCACCUCCACCACUCAGAUUGUAGCUCCAGACCUGGCCUUGUCCUCCAGGCUGCUCUAGUUUCUUAGAAAUUCCUAGUCUUGCCCUUCCUGCUCUCUCUCUCUCCAGCUAACCCCCAGCCUUCCUGAACUGUCUCUCCCUGCUGCCUGUGUCUCCACCUUAGGGGGCUUCUCCCUAAGGAAGGGCAUUGGCCAUGUCAGUACUGGGCCAGGUGUGGAUGACCUGUGAGGUGUUCACUGAAUGAGUGGUAUGGAAUUUCUGCCCUUCUCUAGAAGCUGGAGCCAAAAGAAUACAUCACAACAGCUUGCAGCCGAGAGCCACAGCUGAGAUCAAAGGCGAUAUUUUUACAGCAACUGAAAUAGAAAACCACUGGACACAUGGUGGGAGGUGAGUGGCCAGGACACAGGCCCCUUUGUGCAGCUUGUGGCCGGAGUGAGCAUCCUGCCCUCUUGCCACUGGGAGCUGGGGACCGUGUGGCAGUCACCGUCCCAGCUUGGGUUCAGCGAAUCGAGGAUAAAGUGGGGCUGAGCCCUGUGUGCUGACUCCAGUCCCCGAUGGUAGAAUCAUCAGAAGCUGGCACCUGCCACCCGUGCAACCAUCGUUGUCAUUGUGUGGAGUUGUCUGUCGUGCAGGUGUCUAGGGAGGCCCAGAGUCUUCCAGACAGUUCCCUG